rnacentral:rRNA from 1 species
UACGUAGGGGGCUAGCGUUGUCCGGAAUCAUUGGGCGUAAAGCGCGUGUAGGCGGUCCGGUAAGUCCGCUGUGAAAGUCGGGGGCUCAACCCUCGGAUGCCGGUGGAUACUGUCGGGCUUGAGUACGGAAGAGGCGAGUGGAAUUCCUGGUGUAGCUGUGAAAUGCGCAGAUAUCAGGAGGAACACCAAUUGCGAAGGCAGCUCGCUGGGACGUUACUGACGCUGAGACGCGAAAGCGUGGGGAGCAAACAGG